AACGCGAAGAACCUUACCUGGUCUUGACAUCCCAGGAACCCUGUAGAGAUACGGGGGUGCCUUCGGGAACCUGGAGACAGGUGCUGCAUGGCUGUCGUCAGCUCGUGUCGUGAGAUGUUGGGUUAAGUCCCGCAACGAGCGCAACCCUUGUCCUAUGUUGCCAGCGGGUAAUGCCGGGGACUCGUAGGAGACUGCCGGGGUCAACUCGGAGGAAGGUGGGGAUGACGUCAAGUCUGCAUGCCCCUUACGCGUAGGGCUGCAAACAUGCUACAAUGGCCGGUACAAAGGGCUGCUAUCCCGCGAGGGGGAGCGAAUCCCAAAAAGCCGGUCUCAGUUCGGAUUGGAGUCUGCAACUCGACUCCAUGAAGUCGGAGUCGCUAGUAAUCCCGGAUCAGCAACGCCGGGGUGAAUACGUUCCCGGGCCUUGUACACACCGCUACAGU
rnacentral:rRNA from 1 species